rnacentral:rRNA from 1 species
AAGACAGUGUCUGGCGGGUAGUUUGACUGGGGCGGUCGCCUCCUAAAGUGUAACGGAGGCAUGCAAAGGUUCCCUCAGCCUGAUCGGAAACCAGGCGCUGAGUGCAAACGCAUAAGGGAGCUUGACUGUAAGAGAGACAUCUCGAACAGGAACGAAAGUUGGCGUUAGUGAUCCGGUGGUCCCGAAUGGAAGGGCCAUCGCUCAUUGGAUAAAAGGUACGCCGGGGAUAACAGGCUGAUCGCAUCCAAGAGUUCACAUCGACGAUGCGGUUUGGCACCUCGAUGUCGGCUCAUCACAUCCUGGGGCUGAAGCAGGUCCCAAGGGUACGGCUGUUCGCCGUUUAAAGUGGUACGCGAGCUGGGUUUAAAACGUCGUGAGACAGUUUGGUCCCUAUCUUCUGUGGGCGAAGGAGAAUUGAGAGGGCCUGUCCCUAGUACGAGAGGACCGGGAUGGACGCACCCCUGGUGAUCCUGUUGUCGCGCCAGCGGCAUAGCAGGGUAGCUAUGUGCGGAAGGGAUAACCGCUGAAAGCAUCUAAGCGGGAAGCCUGCCUCAAGAUAAGUUCUCCCCUCGAAAGAGCUGAAGGGCCCGGGUAGACUACCCGGUCGAUAGGCUGGAGGUGUAAGCGCGGCGACGUGCUCAGCUGACCAGUACUAAUAGCCCGAGCGGCUUAUUUUU